CGUGAUACUAUAAUCAAUCAGUAAUGGUACAUAACGUAGUAUAGUAUGUGUCUCAGGUUGGGCCAGAAGAAGAGACAACUAUGGUUGAGAACCGGGAAAACAACAACAGCCACUCAAGAAGAUCACUCACUCUUCAUUUCAUUUCAGUAAUGGCUACCCAAACCCAAACACAGUCACAUCCAAACACCACCAUCGACCCAAACAGCGGCUUCUGUUCCCAUUCCAGAACCUUCCACACCCUCCGUCCAAACGUCCCUCUCCCUCCGCCCUCCCACCCCCUCUCCCUCACCGACUACGCCUUCUCCCUCCUCCCCGCCGCCGCCACCACCACCUCCGCCCUCAUCGACGCCGCCACCGACCGCCACCUCUCUUACUCUCUCCUCCUCCGCCAAGUCCAAUCCCUCGCCUCCUCUCUCCAAUCCCUCACCCCUCUCUCCAAAGGCCACGUGGCACUCAUCCUCACCCCAUCCUCCCUGCACGUCCCCGUACUCUACUUCUCCCUCCUCUCCCUCGGCGUCACCAUCGCCCCCGCCAACCCCCUCAGUUCCCUAUCCGAGUUGACUCACAUCGUCAAACUCGCCAAACCCGCCAUCGCGUUCUCCACCUCGAACGCCGCGAAAAACAUUCCCUCCCUCAAAUUCGGCACAAUCCUCCUCGAUUCCCCGUUCUUCCUCUCCAUGCUCGACGACGACGAAACCGUUAACAGAGACUCGCGUGCUCACCGAGUCGAAGAAGUGAGUCAGUCUGACUCGGCGGCGAUUCUAUUCUCCUCUGGCACCACGGGGCGCGUGAAGGGCGUGCUCCUCACGCACCGCAACUUCAUCACGCUGAUCGGAGGGUUCUAUCACCUCAGAAACGUGGCGGAUGGUGACCCUCACCCGGUGUCGCUCUUCACGCUGCCGCUGUUCCACGUGUUCGGGUUCUUCAUGCUGGUCAGGGCCAUCGCCGUCGGGGAGACGCUCGUGUUCAUGCAGAGGUUCGAUUUCGAAGGGAUGCUAAAGGCUGUGGAGAGGUAUGGAAUCACGUACAUGCCGGUGUCGCCGCCGCUCGUGGUGGCGCUGGCGAAGUCGGAACUCGUGAAGAAGUAUGAUCUCAGCUCGCUACGGUAUUUGGGCUGUGGCGGCGCGCCGCUCGGGAAGGAAGUCGCCGACGACUUCAGAGGCAAAUUCCCUAACGUGGAAAUUGGGCAGGGAUAUGGUUUGACUGAAAGUGGAGGAGGGGCAGCUAGAGUGUUAGGGCCUGAUGAGUCUAAGCGCCAUGGUUCUGUGGGUCGACUAGCAGAAAAUAUGGAGGCCAAGAUAGUGGACCCUGUUACUGGAGAGGCAUUACCUCCUGGCCAAAAAGGGGAGCUCUGGUUGCGAGGUCCAACAAUCAUGAAAGGUUAUGUAGGAGAUGAGAAGGCGACAGCUGAAACAUUGGAUUCAGAAGGGUGGCUGAAGACGGGAGAUCUUUGUUAUUUUGACUCUGAUGGCUUCCUCUACAUUGUAGAUAGACUGAAGGAAUUGAUCAAAUACAAAGCUUAUCAGGUUCCCCCUGCUGAAUUGGAACAUAUACUACACACCAAUCCCGAAAUUGCUGAUGCUGCAGUAGUUCCGUAUCCUGAUGAAGAGGCAGGGCAGAUUCCAAUGGCCUUUGUAGUAAGAAAACCUGGAAGCAACGUCACUGCAGAUCAGGUCAUGGAGUUUGUGGCAAAGCAGGUUUCUCCAUACAAGAAGAUACGACGAGUUUCUUUUAUCAAAUCUAUCCCAAAAUCUCCGGCUGGGAAAAUUUUGAGAAGAGAAUUAGUUGAUUAUGCACUAUCUAGUGGUUCAUCCAAAUUGUGAUCAAGAAAAAAGCAUGGAGAGCAGCACUUAACACGUGCAACAUUUUUUUCUUUAGGGAUUGCCUUGUUAUGAUACAGAUUAAUGUACCUCGCCUCGAAACUAUUGUGACCUGUUCAGAUGCAACAAAUGCACGAUAUCGUGUGAAGCACCUGGCUUAUCAUGAGUGUAGGAAAAUUUUACUACUUUUGGAGUUUUGGAAUCUCAGGCAAUACAUGCUGCACACAGGACACAAAAAAGGUGCAUUGCUAUAGAAAGGAAAACAUUCUCAUGAUGAUAUUUAAAUGGUUAUUGUAAUUCAACAAGUUUAAGACGUGUUGGGGUAGGAGUCUUGAUAUUUUGUUUUUCUUUAUAACUUUACACGCGCAGUUUGUUAGACUUUACAGUACAGGUGUUGGGAUUUUUUUUUUGAUAUGCCAUGAAUGGCGUUAGAGUACCCUUAAAUUGCACUCCAGGUGUAUGAUAACAUCUGUAAUUUGUGCAUUUCUCCCAAUUUCAUUUGUAAUUUUCAAAUUUAAAGUUCCUAAAUUUAAUUUAAUAUAGUUUGAUUGAAUCAA